UUCCGCAAUGGACGAAAUUCUGAGGGAGCAACGCCGCGUGAGUGAUGAAGGUUUUCGGAUCGUAAAGUUCUGUUGUUAGGGAAGAACAAGUGCUAGAGUAACUGCUGGCACCUUGACGGUACCUAACCCGAAAGCCACGGCUAACUACGUGCCAGCAGCCGCGGUAAUACGUAGGUGGCAAGCGUUGUCCGGAAUUAUUGGGCGUAAAGGGCUCGCAGGGGGUUUCUUAAGUCUGAUGUGAAAGCCCCCGGCUCAACCGGGGAGGGUCAUUGGAAACUGGGAAACUUGGGUGCAGAAGAGGAGGAGUGGAAUUCCGCGUGUAGCGGUGAAAUGCGUAGAGAUGUGGAGGAACCCCGGUGGCGAAGGCGACUCUCUGGUCUGUAACUGACGCUGAGGGGCGAAAGCGUGGGGAGCGAACAGGAUUAGAUACCCUGGUAGUCCCCGCCGUAAACGAUGAGUGCUAAGUGUUAGGGGGUUUCCGCCCCUUAGUGCUGCAGCUAACGCAUUAAGCACUCCCCCUGGGGAGUAC
rnacentral:rRNA from 1 species